rnacentral:rRNA from 1 species
CCUACGGGAGGCAGCAGUUAGGAAUCGUCCGCAAUGGACGAAAGCCUGACGGAGCGAUACCGCUUGAAGGACGAAGCCCUUCGGGGUGUAAACUUCUGAACUCGGGACGAUAAUGACGGUACCGAGGUAAUAGCACCGGCUAACUCCGUGCCAGCAGCCGCGGUAAU